UACGGGGGGGGCAAGCGUUGUUCGGAAUUACUGGGCGUAAAGGGCUCGUAGGCGGCCAACUAAGUCAGACGUGAAAUCCCCAGGCUCAACCUGGGAACUGCGUCUGAUACUGGAUGGCUUGAAUCCGGGAGAGGGAUGCAGAAUUCCAGGUGUAGCGGUGAAAUGCGUAGAUAUCUGGAGGAAUACCGGUGGCGAAGGCGGCACCCUGGGCCGGCAUUGACGCUGAGGAGCGAAAGCCUGGGGAGCAAACGGG
rnacentral:rRNA from 1 species